GACGUAGGGAGCGAGCGUUGUCCGGAUUCAUUGGGCGUAAAGCGCGCGUAGGCGGCCUCGCAAGUCGGUUGUGAAAUCCCGGGGCUCAACCCCGGGACUGCGUCCGAUACUGCGAGGCUGGAGGUAGGUAGGGGAGAUCGGAAUUCCUGGUGUAGCGGUGGAAUGCGCAGAUAUCAGGAGGAACACCGGUGGCGAAGGCGGGAUCCUGGGCCAGUACUGACGCUGAGGAGCGAAAGCGUGGGGAGCAAACAGG
rnacentral:rRNA from 1 species